AGCCUGCGAGUUGUGGUGUCUGGCAAGGUUAAGCAAACGCGAAGCCGUAGCGAAAGCGAGUCUGAAUAGGGCGCUUAGUCAGAUGCUGCAGACCCGAAACGAAGUGAUCUAUCCAUGAGCAAGUUGAAGCUAGUGUAAGAACUAGUGGAGGACUGAACCCAUAGGCGUUGAAAAGCCCCGGGAUGACUUGUGGAUAGGGGUGAAAGGCCAAUCAAACUUCGUGAUAGCUGGUUCUCUCCGAAAUAUAUUUAGGUAUAGCGUUGUGUCGUAAUAUAAGGGGGUAGAGCACUGAAUGGGCUAGGGCAUACACCAAUGUACCAAACCCUAUCAAACUCCGAAUACCUUAUAUGUAAUCACAGCAGUCAGGCGGCGAGUGAUAAAAUCCGUCGUCAAGAGGGAAACAACCCAGACUACCAGCUAAGGUCCCUAAAUCUUACUUAAGUGGAAAACGAUGUGAAGUUACUUAAACAACCAGGAGGUUGGCUUAGAAGCAGCCAUCCUUUAAAGAAAGCGUAAUAGCUCACUGGUCUAGUGAUUUUGCGCGGAAAAUAUAACGGGGCUAAAGUAAGUACCGAAGCUGUAGACUUGCACACAACUUAGAUUAUUUAAGUUUAGAAUAUGAGAAACUAAGUUAUAUGUUUAGUUAUAUUUUUACUGAUUUUUAUAGAGUAAAGAUAGAAAUAAAACUUAGUAAAAUCAGUAAAAAUAUUCUUAGACUAAAGUUAAGUAGUUUAAGUUGUGUGCAAGUGGUAGGAGAGCGUUCUAUUUGCGUCGAAGGUAUACCGGUAAGGAGUGCUGGAGCGAAUAGAAGUGAGCAUGCAGGCAUGAGUAGCGAUAAUUAAUGUGAGAAUCAUUAACGCCGUAAACCCAAGGUUUCCUACGCGAUGCUCGUCAUCGUAGGGUUAGUCGGGUCCUAAGUCGAGUCCGAAAGGGGUAGACGAUGGCAAAUUGGUUAAUAUUCCAAUACCAACAUUAGUGUGCGAUGGAAGGACGCUUAGGGCUAAGGGGGCUAGCGGAUGGAAGUGCUAGUCUAAGGUCGUAGGAGGUUGUACAGGCAAAUCCGUAUAACAAUACUCCGAGAACUGAAAGGCUUUUUGAAGUCUUCGGAUGGAUAGAAGAACCCCUGAUGCCGUCGAGCCAAGAAAAGUUUCUAAGUUUAGCUAAUGUUGCCCGUACCGUAAACCGACACAGGUGGGUGGGAUGAGUAUUCUAAGGCGCGUGGAAGAACUCUCUUUAAGGAACUCUGCAAAAUAGCACCGUAUCUUCGGUAUAAGGUGUGGUUAGCUUUGUAUUAGGAUUUACUCCGAAAGCAAGGAAACUUACAACAAAGAGUCCCUCCCGACUGUUUACCAAAAACACAGCACUCUGCUAACUCGUAAGAGGAUGUAUAGGGUGUGACGCCUGCCCGGUGCUCGAAGGUUAAUUGAUGGGGUUAGCAUUAGCGAAGCUCUUGAUCGAAGCCCGAGUAAACGGCGGCCGUAACUAUAACGGUCCUAAGGUAGCGAAAUUCCUUGUCGGUUAAAUACCGACCUGCAUGAAUGGCGUAACGAGAUGGGAGCUGUCUCAAAGAGGGAUCCAGUGAAAUUGUAGUGGAGGUGAAAAUUCCUCCUACCCGCGGCAAGACGGAAAGACCCCGUGGACCUUUACUACAGCUUGACACUGCUACUUGGAUAAGAAUGUGCAGGAUAGGUGGGAGGCUUUGAGUAUAUGACGCCAGUUGUAUAUGAGCCAUUGUUGAGAUACCACUCUUUCUUAUUUGGGUAGCUAACCAGCUUGAGUUAUCCUCAAGUGGGACAAUGUCUGGUGGGUAGUUUGACUGGGGCGGUCGCCUCCCAAAUAAUAACGGAGGCUUACAAAGGUUGGCUCAGAACGGUUGGAAAUCGUUCGUAGAGUAUAAAGGUAUAAGCCAGCUUAACUGCAAGACAUACAAGUCAAGCAGAGACGAAAGUCGGUCUUAGUGAUCCGGUGGUUCUGUGUGGAAGGGCCAUCGCUCAAAGGAUAAAAGGUACCCCGGGGAUAACAGGCUGAUCUCCCCCAAGAGCUCACAUCGACGGGGAGGUUUGGCACCUCGAUGUCGGCUCAUCGCAUCCUGGGGCUGGAGCAGGUCCCAAGGGUAUGGCUGUUCGCCAUUUAAAGCGGUACGCGAGCUGGGUUCAGAACGUCGUGAGACAGUUCGGUCCCUAUCUGCCGUGGGCGUAAGAAGAUUGAAGAGAUUUGACCCUAGUACGAGAGGACCGGGUUGAACAAACCACUGGUGUAGCUGUUGUUCUGCCAAGAGCAUCGCAGCGUAGCUAAGUUUGGAAAGGAUAAACGCUGAAAGCAUCUAAGCGUGAAGCCAACUCUAAGAUGAAUCUUCUCUAAGCUCUCUAGAAGACUACUAGUUUGAUAGGCUGGGUGUGUAAUGGAUGAAAGUCCUUUAGCUGACCAGUACUAAUAGAGCGUUUGGCUUAUCUUUAAUAAAGCAU
rnacentral:rRNA from 1 species